AACCCAAUACCCAAAUCCACUUCCUAACCUAAAAGGCGUAAUACAAUACACACAAUCUAUACAGAGGAAGGAGCUGGCGGCUGCUUCACAGAAAAACACACGAUACAAUAUACAGAUACACGAUAAGGCAGCCUGGCUUCUUUGGAAGAAUACACACACGCAUAUAGGAGAUAUAGAAGCUUUUGAAAUAAAAAGACCCUCCCAGCACAGAAUUUUUCAGAGGAAAAAGAUCCUACCCCCCUUUAAAACCCAUCUCCUUCACACCACCCUCUUCAUCAAACACGCCGGAAACCAGCACCCAAACGAAACCGUCUCCACCUUAGCCCUAAUCUCUCCUUCUUUAUGGGAACUUAACAAAGCCCUAGAGAGCACACUUAUAGCAGCGUAAAUAAAAAAGAUGAUCCCCACCCCAUCUACGGCGAGCUUCGCUCACACACACAUAAACCACGACGCACACAUCAUGUCGUUGCUGCCUCUUCAAACGCAUGCAGCAACAACCGAUGUCGUUACUUCCAUCAGCCAAGAAACAAUUUCCGAUUAGGAGCUACUGUCAUGGAGCUUGUCCGGUUUGUUUUUCGGCGUAGUCUGAGCUUUCCGGCGAGCGUUGAGGUCGUUGUUAGUCGUUGAUAUCCGCCGGUUCUUUCCGUGGUCGCCGGUCUGGGAUAUAUUUUGUUGAGGUCUCCGAUCUUCGAGUUUGGGGUGGAACAUCGUAGCUUGGUUUCCGUUUCCAAAACUGAAAUCCUUGUUUUCUCUGUACGCAAUAAAGGUUAGAGAUCUAUCAAUGAGGGAUUCAUUCUUUUAAUCUUCUAAUUAUUUCUUACAAUGCUUCUGUGUUUUUUUUGUUAUGUUUUUGAUCAAUUAAAAUUUCGUUACCUUUUUCUUCUUUAGUUUGUUUCUAUCUGUUUGAUCGGGAUUAAUUUUAAAAAUAACUAAGAUGCAAAGUUUUUCCAUCUAUGUCUUUAGGCUAAUAUUAUUUGACAAGUCCAUGUUUAUAACGUAAAUGGGUCAAAUAACGUGUGUGUUAACAUUCCAUUCUUUUUUUGAUAUAUGUUGCUAGCUUUCCAUUGUUCUGAUAUCAUAUUUCAUGAAAGAACAUUAGUGUUAAGUUUAAAAUUAUUUUAGUAAUUUAAUAAAAGCUGAAAAUGGAGUUUUAAAAUAAAUAAAAUCUUAAAAUGCAUGGUCCUAGCUCAAUUAAUGUUUGAAUUCUUAGAAAUCGAGGUGCGACAUCUAGUAAAUUCCAUAGCCCUAGCAAACUUGCAAAUGCAUUUUCAUUUUAGGCGCGCUAGUUAAAUAUUCACUUUCCAAAAUAUAGGUACGCAUUUAUGUGACCCAAAUUCAAAUCCCAACGAUGUUGAAAUAUGUCAGAAACUACGGGUUCAUUUAUGUGACGUGGUUCGAGACGUGUUUUAAUGACGUUGCAAUUUUCUUUAAAAUAAUAAUAAAAGCGGUUUAAAGUUAAAAAGAACAUAAGUGAAAACAUGUUCUAAAAUCAAAUAAUUUAAGCCAAAUAUAAUAGUUGAGCGAUCGUGCUAGAACCACGAAACUCGGGAAUGCCUAACACCUUCUCCUGGGUAAACGGAAUUCCUUACUCAGAUUUCUGAUUCGCAGACUGUUAAAUAAAGUCAUUCUUUCCUCGAUUCGGGAUUACAAUCGGUGACUUGGGACACCAUAAAUAUUCCAAGUGGCUACUCUAAAUUCUCUUAAAUAAUUGAAUCAUGUUUCAAUUGUCCUUUAAUUGGAAAAACUCCCUUAUCUACGCCCUUUGCCGGGUUGUAGUAGCCAAAAGGAGGUGUGACACCCGUAAUAUUCCGUGUGUCACAAUGCUCCCAAUAAUCACCACGUUGCAACCUGCUAUCAGCUAAGAAACUCUACUUUCAUUUGUUAUUUUAUGUCUUGCAUAAGGUUACCCUUCUGCCUUCCAAGGUUAAACUUUACCUCUAUCUACAUCUGCAUUUCAUAAGGCUACCAUUCUGCCCUCCAAUUUGCAAAAGGCUAUAGUUCUACCUUCCAACUUGCAUAAGGCUACCAUUUUACCUUCUGAGGUUAAGCUCUCUACCUCUAUCUACAUCUGCAUAAGGCUACCAUUCUGCCUUCUGGGGUUAAGCUCUACCUCUAUCUGCAUUUGUAUUGCAUAAGGCUACCAUUUUGCCUUCCUCUUCUGCAUCUGCAUAAGACUACCAUUGUGCCUUCCGAGGUUAUGCUCUAUCGUUAUCUGCAUCUGCAUUGCAUAAGGUUACCAUUCUGCUUUCCAAGACUAAGCGUUGUAUUUAUCCACAUUGCACAGUUGAAAGAUCACCACAUUGCACGGCUAAAAAAUUGCCACAUUGUGCAACUGAAAGAUCACCAUAUUGUACAGCUGAAAGAUCGCCGCAUUGCAUAGUUAAAAUAUUGCCUCAUACUACAUUUGCACAGCUGAUACAUCGCCACACUGCACGGAUGAAAUAUCGCCAUAUUACAUGGCUCAAAGUUUUCCAUAUUGCAUAGUUGAAAGAUCACCACAUUGCACGGCUGAAAGAUCGCUAUAUUGCACGGCUGAAAGAUCUCCACAUGGUAAUACAUCCUUCAUGGGAUGAAAUAUCGAUAACUUAUCCAAAGGCGUCAUCAUUCAGAGGCACCAUCCUCAUAGCCCGAGAACACCAUGUCAUGGCCUGAGGACCCCUUUCAAUCUUUUGCAUAUCAUUAUUCAAAGUCGUCAUGCUUCGGAGGCAUCAUUAUCAUAGCCCGAGAGCAUCAUUUCAUGGGCUGCGAAUCCUUACGCUUCAUGGCCCAGGACAUCAUGGUCUAUAGAUGUCUUCAUAACCGUUCAAAGAUAGCAUUCGUGGUCCAACGGGAUUUUACAUCAUGUCUAAAUUUACGCACAAUAUAUGUUUGUAUUACUUAUUUGCAGGUAAACCAGCAAGCUAUAGCCGUCCCGGUAUGAUCAUUUCUUCUCUAGUUCCUACAGUGUAAGUUGUUCACUCACCCAGCCCGAAAUAUUACGUCCGUCCUUGGAAAAUACCCGUUGGUAUACACCGUCGACGGAUCUUAAACUACACACGGCCUAAUUCCUAUAAAUCCAGGGAUAUGUAGGCAACUCAGAAGCCAAGGUGCGGCCUAGAUCUCUUCAAACUGCUUCGCUCGGUCAAAAUUUGCCAUCAUAUCUUUACCCGGAAACUAUUUCAUCCUUCCCGGGUAAAGAUGGGCAGCUGUUGAUACCCAAUUUUUCCAAUAUAUUUUUUAAUAUGAAAAAUACCUUCAAAAAAGCACAUGUAUGCAUAUAUAAGUAUGUCCAAAUUUAUAAUUAUUUUUCCUUAGAUUUUUAAAUCAAUUUAUUUUCCUAUUUUAUAAAAUCCAAUAAUGAUUUCCAAAUUUAUUUUUUUGGUAAUUCAUUUAUUGGACUUCACAUUUAUGCUGAAAUACGGCUAAUUUUUAUAUUGCAUAUUUUUAUAAAUUUAUGUAGUAUUUUUAAAGUUAAAUUGCAUAUAAUUGUAAUAUUAGCCUUUUUUGGAUUUAAUUAUGUUUAUAUUCGUGAAAAUUAAAUCCAAUAUUUUUAUAUGAUAACUAUAUAUUAUAAAUCAUUUAGUACUUUUAAUUUAUUUCCAGAAAUUAAUUUACUAUUUUUAUAAUUUUAUAUAGGAAAAUGGCUAUUUAAAAUCCACCUAGAUUGGCUAAAAAUUUCAGCCUAAUAUUGAGCCCAAAUCAGACACAAUUUUCCAACCCAAUUGUAACUCAAAACCCGACCCCUAACCCAUAAUGACUCAACCCAGACUCCCCACCUAACCCCCUUAAUCCUAGCCAUUGAUUAUUUAGAUCAACGGCACCUAUACGUCCUUUCCUUUUUGCCUUGAACAACCCCGAAACCUACAUCAUUUCUCACAUACCGCCGCCCUUGAAUCCCUCUUCUCUCAACUCUCUCUAAAACAUACGAACCCUAGCCGCCGCCAUCAAACUACAUCCUAAUACACCCUAAAACCUGCAUAAUCCAUGGCCUCCCAUGGCCAUUGGAGAAUUAGGGUGUUUGUUUCUAUGGUUUCAUGGCCAGUCCUCGAAGGAACCUGGUCCAGUCCUUACUCAAUGUUGUUCAUGGCUUUUCUCUGGUCAUCACUAACCUUUCUCCGGCCAGCCAUGGCCGUUCGAGUCAGAUCCUUGACUCUUCUGGUUAGAUCAGUAGCUUUCUAGGCCUUUCUCAUCUUUUCUAAGUUUUUCAAAACCCUAAUCUUUAAGAUCUUUUGAUUUUCUUUCAGAUCUACUUUAGAUCUGUACUUGCUAUGAAUGUCAAGUAUUUUUCUCGAAAGUUCUUCAACUUUUCCUUCAAAACGACUUUUCGUUAAGGUUUUCCAUUAAGUUUUACAAAGAUAUAUUCUAUGAUUUUUAAUGUUGUUUGUGAUUCUACUAUGUUUUGCUCAUGUUGUUCUUCUAUCUGAGUCAGUAUGUUGAAAACCCUAAUUUUUCUUUGGGUUUCAUUCGAGCUCUGUAGCUGUUUGUUAGAUGUGUAUUGGUUAUAUUAAGUACUUGUUAAACUUAUUUGUUUUACCAUAUUUUAAACUAAAUUAUUGUUGAAAACCCUAGGACUUUAAGUCUGAAACUGUUUGUUUGAAUGUAUACUUGACUUGAUUGAAAGUUCUUGUUUCAGAAUCUCUUUUAUGUAUGUGAUUAUCUGAUUUUUACUAUCAUUCAACUAGACUAUGGUUGAAACCCUAAUUUCUCAAAAGGGAUUCCUCACUUGUCAUUGUGAGACCUUUACUUGUUUUGACUCUCUUCUUCACUUUGGCUAUAUGUGUGAGCCCUGACUAUUUACUGAAUCCCAUGCUUUUUUCUCCUACUAUUGUACGAUAAUUUUUUUGCCAAUGUGCCUCGCAUGUCUGGUGUUUUUGUUCACUCUAUAUAUACUGAAGUGCAGAAGCAUGUUUUCUCCUUGAUUGAUCUUAAUCUUCUGACUGAUUUCAAGAACUUUUCUUACGAGCCCUAGUUUCACUCGCCUAUUUAAAAUUAAUUGAUUCGUUUCCCUUUACAAUGAUUUUUUACCUUGCUGAUUUCUUUCCCAAAAUAAACAUAUUUUGUACGCAGAUUUGAUUAUUCACUGCAUUCUUUUACUACGCCUUAUAUGGACAAAUUCAGUCUGCUUCCAAACUGAUUUUCUUUCCUUAAUUAGACCUGCUGCUACCCAUUAAACAAUGAUUCCUUAAUUAAAAGGGGAUCAACUGGGUAAUUGAUUCUAACUUGUGAUUGUUUCCAUGUUUGUAUCAAGACUUUACUUAUUACCUAUCUUUCACUCGUUUUCAAAAAACUAUAAAUACCCUGCACGCAUCUUCCUUCAAAAAGCACGAACGAACCAUUUGAUUUUAGAACACACACUUCACUCAAAACUCUAUCUCUCUCUCUCUCUCUCUCUCUCUCUCUCUCUCUCUCUCUCUCUCUCUUUCUCUCUCUUCUCUGUUACUACUUGUGUUUUUGCAUUGUCUAGCCAGCUGAAAGUCAAGGUUAGGCUGUGAAAAUUUGCUUACUUUUCUUUCUGCACUUUACUUCUUAUUGGUACGUCCUAGUUAAUCUUCAAGCAUCAACAACAAUAUGUUUUUUAGUUGUUUCCUUCACUCUUGCCUGUUUCUGCUUAUGUUUAUGCAAACAAGUUAUAUUACUAAGCAUACUAUAAUCUGCUCCCUCCCAUUCUAAAUUAAUAUUUCUCCUUAUGCAUGUACUUUGUAAGUCACUUGUUAUAUGAUUUGUUGAACUAUGAAUCCCAAACCCUUAUAUCCUCCUAUGUGAUGGUGUUCUCUAGUUGGUUUGUGGGCAUGCCAUCAUCAUCUAUUGUUGUGCAUGUCCUAAACUUGACCCCUUUUGUGCAAUUACUGGUUCUAUGUAAAUUAUGUUUUACCACAAUUGGUUUCGAAUCACCCUUGCCCCUUACUAUUCUCAACCCAUUUUAAAAUAAAAUCUCUAUUUAUAUCAUUCCCACUAUACUCUUAGAACUUAGGUUCUACCCCUCAUGUAUGAGCCUUGCCUUGGGGUCCUUGAGCUCCCUCUAAUAUUGGACACAUAAGGGUUGGUCCUUCCACGCUGCACUAAUUCUCUAUCAGGUUAUGCAAGCAUGGGUGUAAGCAAUGCCCGGAUCCCCUGAGACCCUUAGAGAACUUUGACACACCCAGGUCUGACAAUGGCUUUGAAACGAGUGGCAUUUGAGGUGUUUUGUUCCAUAACUCAAAGAGCAAGUCAUAAUCAUGUUUCUUUUGGUUGUAAUUUAUUAUUUUGUACCUCUCUUGUAAUUCAACAUUUGAUCUGUAAUAAUUUUUAAACGAAGAUUGGGUUUGGCUAGUGAAAAGGGAUGGGUAAUUAUAUAUAUGUUUAGCUGUUACGAGGGUAGAUAACAUUCUUAUAGGGUUUGUUGUUUCAAACUCUACAUGUUUUAAUUCCACACUUAGAUAUCAUGCCUAUAUGACCUAUUUAAUAAAGUUCUGCAUGUUUUAAUUCUAUACUUAGAUAUCCUGCCUAUAGAAUCUAUCUAAUAAAUUUCUACAUUGUUUCAUUUCUACACUUAGAUAUCCUGCCUAUAGGAUAUAAUGGCUAUAACCAGACAUUAUUUUUACAAGGUUAAAAAUUAGAUCAAAAUUAGAUGUCAUGCCCAUAAGGUUAAUAGCAUUGUUUUAUAGAAGUCAUGCCUAUAGGAAUCUUUCUAUGAUCAAAUAAAUCCUGCGUACUCCACUUCAUUAGAUACCAUAUCUAUAAGACUAAAUCAACCUUUAAUAUUAGAUACCAUGUCUGUAGGAUUAAAAUCAACAAUAAUAGAGAUUAUGUCCAUAAAAUCUGAAACCAGUUUAGUUAAAAAUCUGGUUGACUCGUACUAUUUUAAUAACUUACUCCUUUCGUUAAUGAGGUUUAGAAAGCAAACCCAUAGGAUCCAGUUUGCCUGUUUAAAACUAUCAUUGCUUUGCCAUUUUUGAAUCACUAAUAGAUAUCUCCCAUGUCUUAAAUUCUGACCCUAAAACCCUAAAACCCUAAAACCACAAAACUCGGGAAUUCCUAACAUCUUCUCCCAGGUUAACAGAAUUCCUUACUUAUUUUUUGUGCUUCGUGUACUGUAAAACAAGGUCAAAUUUCCUCGACUCGGAAUCUUAAACCACUUACUAUGGACACCUUAAAUUAUCCCAAGAUAAAUAAUCUCGUUUCGAUUAUCGUCACUUUACUUGGAAAACUCUUUUAUAACCCCCUUUCGGGUAAAAAAUGAGGUUUGACAGCUCUGGCGAUCUGAUAGGUAUGAGAACCCAGAAUAUUUGGUUCAGGGUUCAGAAUUCAAGCUUGUUAAUAUGAUCUAUGUAUGGUUUUAUUGUUUGUUGAUGUUACUGCAUUUGUGGACCUAAUGUGUUAAUUGUUGCGUAUUUACUGCUUUGAUAUCAUUCGAACUGUAAUAAACUGUCUUCUUACGCUCCUUUAGGAGUCUUCUUAAAAUAUGGUGAACAUGUACGCAUGGCCCACUUUUUUUUUAGAAGUCAUACCAAAUAGAAUGAGGCUAGGUCAGUAACUAGGCCGAGUAGACUUUCAUGCUCCCGGUACGUUGUCCCCGCCUCGGCUCAAGUUAUCUGCUCUGGUAAGCCAGGUCUAAAAUACAAUCUCAGGUUUAAAUCUAGCAUAACAUAACCUCAUGUUGGAUCCCUAGUAGGAACGUUUAUUUGCAUCAUGUGCACUUGACUUUGGGGACUCACCAUAGAGGUUGGGUCCGUCUAGGACAGGUGCAUCCAAAAAUAAAAGAUCAUCCUGAUGCAUCUUAUGUUCUACGUGUUCCAUUGUUCAAGGGUAAAACGGAUCACUUAACGGACCAAUAAUGGUUGAGAUAAAUGAGAGAGAAAAGAGGGUGAAGUGUGAAAAUAAAGCAAGUAGGGCCCGGUUAUAAUUUUCUUUCACAUUUCUUUUCCAAGAAUAAGAAAAAAAUGAAAAUAAAAAAUUCAAAAAUAUUUUGCACUUUCCCGUAAUUUUUUUUAAAAGGGAUAAAAAAUAUAUUUUCUGUAAAUUAGUUAUUUUUUUAAUUAUUGCUCGUGUCCAAUCUUCCCGAACUACGCAUACCUGAUUCUCAUCUUUCGGGGCAUUAUACGUAGGUAUCCCACAUAGGGUUUGGUCUUUCUAUCGAGUCUUAGGUUCUAGGCCUCGUGGGGUUUUAGCUAAAUCUUACAUGUCUAACCACUUUUGGCCACAUCGGCCAUUCUUGCAAAAAUGGGGUCAUUUGUGCAAAAGUGUUCAAUGACCUAUGUUUUAGAAUCUUGAGUCCACAACUAGGUGUCAUAUUACUUUAAAGUCCGACCUUUUUAAAGCUUGCAUCUUUAGUCACUUCUGGUCACAUCGGUCAUACUUGCAAAAUGGGCAAUUUUUGCAAAUUAAUUUCUGGCCAUGAUUAUUGGGAGUUUGAAUCCACAUAAGCUUUAGUGAGAUAUUUCCAUCUCUAUGAGGUCACCUUUGAUGAGUUUGCGCUAAUAAGCCACAAAGGUUAGUUUGAAGAAAAAUAGACACAAUCAUGUCUUGCAUGUGUCCAAUAGGAAGUUUUAUUGUCUCACAUAGUGUUCUAAGUCUUUAACUCUAUUUGGUCUUUUCUCAUACAGGUGUAGAUCUACUUACCAGUGCUUGACCCUCUUUGUCAUGACCGUUGCAUCCAGGAGUUGCUUAAGGAGAUUUUUUAUUUUUAAUUUUUUGAGUCUGUUUUUUGUUGUCUUGUACUUUAUAGUCAUGUUCAGU
rnacentral:lncRNA from 1 species